rnacentral:rRNA from 1 species
GACGAACGCUGGCGGCGUGCUUAACACAUGCAAGUCGAACGGAAAGGCCCUGCUUUUGUGGGGUGCUCGAGUGGCGAACGGGUGAGUAACACGUGAGUAACCUGCCCUUGACUUUGGGAUAACGUCAGGAAACUGGGGCUCAUACCGGAUAGGAGCUCCUGCUGCAUGGUGGGGGUUGGAAAGUUUCGGCGGUUGGGGAUGGACUCGCGGCUUAUCAGCUUGUUGGUGGGGUAGUGGCUUACCAAGGCUUUGACGGGUAGCCGGCCUGAGAGGGGGACCGGCCACAUUGGAACUGAGAUACGGCCCAGACUCGUACGGGAGGCAGCAGUGGAGAAGAUUGCACAAUGGGCGGAAGCCUGAUGCAGCAACGCCGCGUGCGGGAUGACGGCCUUCGGGUUGUAAACCGCUUUCGCCUGUGACGAAGCGUGAGUGACGGUAAUGGGUAAAGAAGCACCGGCUAACUACGUG